GACAGAAGGUGCAAGCGUUACUCGGAAUUACUGGGCGUAAAGCGUCUGUAGGUGUCUUUCCACGUCUGGCAUUAAAUCACGGGGCUCAACUCCGUAACUAUGUUGGAAACGAGAAAGAUCGAGUCACUCAGAGGCAUCUGGAAUGUCGUGUGUAGGGGUAAAAUCCGUAGAUACACGAUGGAACGCCAAAAGCGAAGGCAGGAUGCUAGGGGUGUACUGACACUCAGAGACGAAAGCGUGGGGAGCAAAGGGG
rnacentral:rRNA from 1 species